CCCUUAGACGUUCUGGGCCGCACGCGCGCUACACUGACGAAGGCAACGAGCUUUCCUUUACCGAAAGGUACGGGUAAUCUUUUGAAACUUCGUCGUGCUGGGGAUAGAUCCUUGCAAUUUUUGAUCUUAAACGAGGAAUGCCUAGUAAGCGCAAGUCAUCAACUUGCGUUGAUUACGUCCCUGCCCUUUGUACACACCGCCCGUCGCUACUACCGAUUGAAUGGUUUAGUGAGGCCUUCGGAUCCGCGACUCGUUUGUGGAGAAGUUGGACAAACUCAGCCAUUUAGAGGAAGUAAAAGUCGUAACA
rnacentral:rRNA from 1 species